UUAGUACUAGUCCCGAAUCUGGAGAUAUGGCCAGCUCCGCUUCCAUUUCUAGGCCCAGGUUCCGCUGCUUCGACCCUAGUAACUCUUACCCUGCGACUCCCGAUCACCCUCGCUACUUCUCGUCUUCCCCUCCCACCUCCAGCCCCUCCACUCCCCGAGUGAACGGCCGCUCCAGUGGCAGCAUGGCAAUUUCCGACAACUCCGAGCUCAAAUCGCCACCGGCCCCGGUGGCUACGUCCUCGAAGAUGUUCCUCACUUAGUUGAUUACAUCCCCGAUCUCCCCACAUAUCCCAAUCCAUUACAAGACAAUCCGUCCUAUUCGGUUGUUAAGCAGUAUUUCGUUAAUGCAGAUGAUACCGUUGCUCAAAAGAUUGUUGUUCAUAAGGAUAGUCCAAGGGGGACACACUUUCGACGCUCUGGACCACGUCAGAAGGUGUAUUUCGAGUCAAAUGAUGUGCAUGCGUGCAUUGUGACAUGUGGUGGUCUCUGUCCAGGACUGAAUACAGUUAUUAGGGAAAUAGUAUGCGGUCUGUACCACAUGUAUGGUGUCAGAAGAAUUCUCGGAAUAGAGGGUGGAUAUAGAGGGUUUUAUGCCAGAAAUACAAUCCCCUUAACACCGAAGGUUGUGAAUGACAUCCAUAAACGAGGUGGCACCAUCCUUGGAACCUCGCGAGGUGGGCAUGUUACCUCAAAGAUUGUGGACAGCAUCCAGGACAGAGGAAUUAAUCAGGUUUAUGUAAUUGGAGGAGAUGGAACUCAGAAAGGAGCUUCGGUGAUUUUUGAGGAAAUCAGGAGGCGUGGCCUCAAAGUAGUGGUGGCAGGAAUUCCCAAAACCAUCGAUAAUGACAUUCCGGUUAUAGACAGGUCUUUUGGUUUUGACACUGCUGUUGAGGAGGCUCAACGAGCCAUUAAUGCAGCUCAUGUUGAAGCAGAAAGCGUUGAGAAUGGUAUUGGCUUCGUCAAGUUAAUGGGCCGCUACAGUGGUUUCAUAGCAAUGUAUGCUACUCUUGGUAGCCGAGACGUCGACUGCUGUCUGAUUCCAGAGUCACCUUUUUAUCUGGAAGGACCAGGCGGACUUUAUGAAUACAUUGAAAGAAGACUGAAGGAGGAUGGUCACCUGGUUAUAGUAAUGGCUGAAGGUGCAGGACAAGAGCUUCUUGCUGAAAGCAUGAACCAACAGGAUGCUUCUGGAAAUAAGCUUCUCCAAGAUGUUGGUCUCUGGUUAUCUCAAAAUAUCAGGGACCACUUCUCGAAACAGAGAAAUAUGGCUAUAAAUCUCAAAUAUAUAGAUCCUACUUACAUGAUCCGUGCGAUUCCAAGUAAUGCAUCUGAUAAUGUAUAUUGCACCCUCCUUGCUCACAGUGCCAUUCAUGGUGCGAUGGCUGGAUACACAGGCUUCACUGUCGGCCCUGUUAACGGGAGGCAUGCUUACAUUCCGUUCCGUCGGGUGACCGAGAGGCAGAACAAGGUUGUGAUCACUGACAGAAUGUGGGCACGGUUACUGUCAUCAACCAAUCAGCCGAGCUUCUUGGACCUGAAAGAGGUCGAAGCAAUGAAGAAAGAGGAAAAGGAAGAGGAAACAAAAGCCCAACUGAUAGUUGGGGAAAACCAUACUGAAGCAACUUCAGCGUCUUUACCGAAGGAAUAGGAAAAGGGUUCAACAAGCAGCUUGUUUCCGAAAUCAAAGAUCGUUGUGUUCUUGGCGUUCUUAUUCGUUUUCGCUCCCUGUCUUCCUGUGUGAUGUAAUUCUUUAGAAGAGCACCCUAAAUCCGGCGGUGUUUUGGGUUGUUCGAUCGAUAUAUUUAAAUAUAUUUAAAAGGAGUCGGUAGUAUAUUCAAGAAACAUUGCCAAGUUAUGAGUUGCUGGCAGAUUGGUUCCUCUCCACAACUUUUCCCAACUAAACAUUCCAUUCUCUUUUCAGAACGGUCUAUCAAAAUUUGAGGAUUUUGGAACAAUA